rnacentral:rRNA from 1 species
UGUGAACUGCAGGACACAUGAACACCGAUACGUUGAACGCAUAUUGCGCAUCGUGCGACACAGCUCGAUGUACACAUUUCCGAGUGCCUAUGCUUUAUCAUGAUGAAACCGAUGGGUCGGUGCGGCGCACGCUGUGCUCGGCCGUCACUCAUCAAAGAUGCGGUCGCUACGGCGGCUGUGAAUAAGUGAAGCGAGUCAUGUUCCGUCCGGCGACUCCGGUGGCCUUCGGGGAUGAACACAGCGCCUCGCGUAAGAGCGUGUGUUGACAUCGCCCGGGGUACGGUCACUGCGAGAAGCCGGUCGGACGGGGACCGCGGAACGUUAGGAGGAUUGGCACCCUCCUGCGUGGGGGUUAGGUAGGGCUUCGAUAUUGUGUGGCUACCCCCUGAAUUUAAGCAUA